UUAAGAGCUCCACCAACCCUUGAAGAGUGAAGCAAUCUUGACAAAGAAGAGAAGAGCCUUAUCAAAGCGAUAACUAUAUUCUAAAUCCUUCUUUGUAGCUCAUAAUUGUUAUAUUUGCUUAUCUAGGAGUUUCAACUAUCUUCUUCUUAAUCAAUUUGUAAGGUUUGUUGGUGAGCCCGUAAAACCAACGGUGUAGGUUUGUUGGUGAACCCGUAAAACCAACGGUGAAGGUUUGUUGGUGAGCCCGUAAAACCAACAUAGGUUUUUGGUGAUCUCGGAAAACCAAAGUGUAAAGAUUUUUGGAUUGUGAGCCCGAAAAACAAUCCAACUGUAAUCCGCAGGAUUAUAGUGAAUUCCCAAUGGGUCGUUUGGGGAGUAGACGUAGGUGCUUAGGAGAGCACCGAACCACUAUACUUCUUGUGUGUUUGCAUUGUGUAUUGUUCUAACUUCACUACAAUCACUCACUCAUUAAUUAACUUAAUUAAAGAAUUAAAAAUUUAGAAGAACCAAUACACCCCCUCUUGGCUUGUCACCUUGGGCAACAAGUGGUAUCAGAGCAAGGUGCUCUCAUAGUAUUUGUUGAUCUCACAAUCAAGAG
rnacentral:lncRNA from 1 species